AGAGGAGAGUCAGGGAAAGUUUCCUUUUUACCUAAAUGUUUCUGUUUGAUUUUUUUCAGUAACUUAGCAGUUAAUAGCUUCUUUGUAGCCCUUACCUUCCCCCUUGGUUAACCAGGCCAAAUACCAUCUCAAAUUCUUCCCACGGGCAAGGAGAGGAGCGUUAAGUGCUGCUUAUUACGCAGCUGCGUGUGCGUGGUAUUUGCGUGUUCUGAGGAUCGCACAAGCAGUGCUUCUAGGAAACGCAGUGGACCCCAAGUUCAACCCACCUGACGCAGGAACACCUGAGUUCAUUAGGUCGGUGAAAAUUCAUCUGCCUCUUGUCAGCCAUAGUGUGAACCCAGGUAAACGUCCAGAUCUCAGGUCUAUGGACUUUCAACCAACUUGAGUUACAACCAGCCCUCGGGAACCGAUCGACUUCGAAGCAAAGACAACUGAGGACUUCUUUGGAGCAGAUUGGCUGUGUUCCCUCCUGGUAACGGAACCAUUGAGAGUUCACUCUGUGACUGCCUGGAAGGGAAACCUUAAUGGAAGGGACAAAAGCAGUCAAAU